AUCCAGGGGAAGGUGCAUGUGCCUACAUAUACCCAUAAAAUAUUCAUGGUAAAUUCAACAUCAAAACCUAAUAAUUGAAUCUUCAAAUCAAAAAGAUAAUUCAGGAAUUAACAAACUAUAAUCCACAAUAUUUUUAAUCAAAUCCAGUCAUUUAAAUUAAAACACAGGCAUAAAGGAAUAAACACCAAUAAUCCCAUUAGUAAAUAUCCUGGAAAUGAUAAGGGCAGCUUUUCUAUAAAAUGCUGCAAUUACCAAACAACACAACGUAAAAUCAUAUUUAGCCUGCUUGAUUGAAUGACAUGAAAAAGAUUGCAACAACGGUACAAAAACUAUCAAAUAAAAUGCAGAACACAUUCAUAAUUACGUAUUUUUGCUUUCCUUUCAUCUAUGAACAAAAAUCCCAUCAAAAUGACGCAAAUUAGAAUCAACCCAAUCAGCUAUAUUCACUACUGCCACUACUCAUGCUUAAUAAAACAAAGAAAAAGAAGAAAGAGAGACCCAUUAAUCCAAUUGCUACAAUUAAUGGAUCCAAUUACAAAUUCAAUUGAAAAAAACAAAGAGAAAGAGAGACCCAUCAAUCCUCA
rnacentral:misc_RNA from 1 species